rnacentral:rRNA from 1 species
CAGGCUUAACACAUGCAAGUCGAGGGGCAGCAUGGUCUUAGCUUGCUAAGGCCGAUGGCGACCGGCGCACGGGUGAGUAACACGUAUCCAACCUGCCGUCUACUCUUGGACAGCCUUCUGAAAGGAAGAUUAAUACAAGAUGGCAUCAUGAGUCCGCAUGUUCACAUGAUUAAAGGUAUUCCGGUAGACGAUGGGGAUGCGUUCCAUUAGAUAGUAGGCGGGGUAACGGCCCACCUAGUCUUCGAUGGAUAGGGGUUCUGAGAGGAAGGUCCCCCACAUUGGAACUGAGACACGGUCCAAACUCCUACGGGAGGCAGCAGUGAGGAAUAUUGGUCAAUGGGCGAGAGCCUGAACCAGCCAAGUAGCGUGAAGGAUGACUGCCCUAUGGGUUGUAAACUUCUUUUAUAAAGGAAUAAAGUCGGGUAUGGAUACCCGUUUGCAUGUACUUUAUGAAUAAGGAUCGGCUAACUCCGUGCCAGCAGCCGCGGUAAUACGGAGGAUCCGAGCGUUAUCCGGAUUUAUUGGGUUUAAAGGGAGCGUAGAUGGAUGUUUAAGUCAGUUGUGAAAGUUUGCGGCUCAACCGUAAAAUUGCAGUUGAUACUGGAUAUCUUGAGUGCAGUUGAGGCAGGCGGAAUUCGUGGUGUAGCGGUGAAAUGCUUAGAUAUCACGAAGAACUCCGAUUGCGAAGGCAGCCUGCUAAGCUGCAACUGACAUUGAGGCUCGAAAGUGUGGGUAUCAAACAGGAUUAGAUACCCUGGUAGUCCACACGGUAAACGAUGAAUACUCGCUGUUUGCGAUAUACUGCAAGCGGCCAAGCGAAAGCGUUAAGUAUUCCACCUGGGGAGUACGCCGGCAACGGUGAAACUCAAAGGAAUUGACGGGGGCCCGCACAAGCGGAGGAACAUGUGGUUUAAUUCGAUGAUACGCGAGGAACCUUACCCGGGCUUAAAUUGCAGAUGAAUUACGGUGAAAGCCGUAAGCCGCAAGGCAUCUGUGAAGGUGCUGCAUGGUUGUCGUCAGCUCGUGCCGUGAGGUGUCGGCUUAAGUGCCAUAACGAGCGCAACCCUUGUUGUCAGUUACUAACAGGUUCCGCUGAGGACUCUGACAAGACUGCCAUCGUAAGAUGUGAGGAAGGUGGGGAUGACGUCAAAUCAGCACGGCCCUUACGUCCGGGGCUACACACGUGUUACAAUGGGGGGUACAGAGGGUCGCUACCACGCGAGUGGAUGCCAACCCCCAAAACCUCUCUCAGUUCGGACUGGAGUCUGCAACCCGACUCCACGAAGCUGGAUUCGCUAGUAAUCGCGCAUCAGCCACGGCGCGGUGAAUACGUUCCCGGGCCUUGUACACACCGCCCGUCAAGCCAUGGGAGCCGGGGGUACCUGAAGUGCGUAACCGCGAGGAGCGCCCUAGGGUAAAACUGGUGACUGGGGCUAAGUC